rnacentral:rRNA from 1 species
UACGUAGGGUGCAAGCGUUGUCCGGAAUUAUUGGGCGUAAAGAGCUUGUAGGCGGUUUGUCGCGUCUGCUGUGAAAUUUCGGGGCUCAACCCCGAACUUGCAGUGGGUACGGGCAGACUAGAGUGUGGUAGGGGAGACUGGAAUUCCUGGUGUAGCGGUGAAAUGCGCAGAUAUCAGGAGGAACACCGGUAGCGAAGGCGGGUCUCUGGGCCGAUAACUGACGCUGAGAGCGAAAGCGUGGGGAGCGAACAGG